GACGAACCGUGCGAACGUUGUUCGGAAUCACUGGGCUUAAAGGGCGCGUAGGCGGCUUGCCAAGUCGGGGGUGAAAUCCGGCAGCUUAACUGUCGAAGUGCCUUCGAUACUGGCAAGCUAGAGGGAGGUAGGGGUCUGUGGAACUUCUGGUGGAGCGGUGAAAUGCGUUGAUAUCAGAAGGAACGCCGGUGGGGAAAGCGACGGACUGGAUCUCUUCUGACGCUGAGGCGCGAAAGCUAGGGGAGCAAACGGG
rnacentral:rRNA from 1 species